rnacentral:lncRNA from 1 species
UCAUACUUGAGUAAACGACGACAUAUGCAAUGAAAAAUCUAGAAGCGGUUAUGUCCAGGAAGAAUCUUAAAAUUUCAAUAAUGACCCAAUAUAUUGUCAUAAAAGCUACUCCGGUACCAGAAAUUUGGAUGACAUCAUUAAUAAGCAGUGUACGGCAAUUUGACCUCAGGAGGACCCUAACUUCUGCUAGUUCACGAUCUCAUCCAGGAUCCAAAAAUUUCAAAAGCUGAAUGGUGUCGUGAAGCACAAAUAUGCUGGGGAUUGUGAUAGGCUCCAUUAAUGAUAUCCGGUGCAUCAUGGCAAAACCAAUAAGAGCAGCAAAGGAAAUUGACAAGUGAAAUAAUCAACCAACACAUGGGGAUAACAGAAAUGGUUGAAAAGGGUGGUUACACAACCCAGUAUAUAAACAGGAAGCAGGGGAGAAUAGAGGCAUACUGAAAUAUGGAAAAGUCUAGUGGAGAGAUUGGCCUCUCGAAUGCCAAAUACCCUGUUAUUUCUUUUCAUUGUUACUAGAAUAUAGAGAUACACUUUUACAGAUUACUGCUGUUUUUUUCCUGCUAUCAUAAUUCUACCAAUUACAGUGGUUCUAUAUUAUAGAUAUCAUAUUACAAGUUCCAAUAGCCUUCAUUUGCUUCUGCCUUUGUCUUCAUUUCUGUAUUUGAUUCUAUGAUUGAACAGCAACUUCAACAGGAUCCUAUCAGAUUGCUCAUCUGGUAAAACAUCUCAAAUUAUCAUCUCCUAUAAGCAGUCAGCUAAUGGCACUCAAUUGUUGCAUAUUCACUUCUACACUGAUAAUGUCAGAAUUCAGAGCAUUUCAAAAGAAAGCUAUGAAAGUUUUGGUAAUCACAGCCUCGUUGAAGGUCAUAUGAUACGACCAGACUAGCCAAACUAAUUUUUCAUUCCUAGUCUCUAGUUUCCCUAUUAGGCAUCAAAAUCACAGGGUUCAAAUAUCUUGAUAGUACAUUUUCUUGGGUAACUCAGCGACAAUCUCCAUGAAUCUCAACAAAAUAUUGAUUAUAACUUCUCCAAUGAUCCCAAGUUUGACACAGUGUCUGGAUUUUUAAGAAAAUAAAGUGCUUAUCUGAAAGAAGCUUAUGAGCAAUCAUUUUGCUUCUGCCCAAAACCAGUAACUUGUUUAACAGGUAACAUUAACAAAAUCUAUUAAUCUUUUUAACCUGAUAAUAUACUGCUAUGAUACUUUCAGCAUUUAACAUGUAACAUUAAGUCGUAUCAGCAAACAUUGUCGUCUAUGUAACUAUGGACUCAACAGAAUUAGAGGAAGAAAGGCUAAUGACACUGCGAAAAAAUACUGAUUAAAACUUUAUUUAUUUUCAUUUAUAUCAUGGUAGGGGAAUCCGAACCCCAUCCAUCCUGUCUCAAUGGAGCCUAAAAACCACACUGGAACUGUGAUGGUGCUUUAUUAAAAAAAGGGAAAAUUGCAUCUGAGGUACCAAACUUUUCGUUUAUUAGUAGACUUUGCCCAAACCUUUAGUUUGUGCCACCGGAGGUACCAAACCUUCAAAAAAUGCGCACCCGGAGUCCAAAUUGACAGAAACCGUUAGUUUGACCAUCAAAACCGUUAGUUGACCCCAAAAUUGACAUUGACCAAAAUUUUGACUGAUUUUUUAAGGUUAAAAUUGUAACUUUACAUUUUUUUAACAAAAAAGACAAUUAUAAUAUUUAUUAAUAAUUAAAUUUAAAAAAAC